GAAAAAAAAACAAAAAAAAAAACAGGAAAGUGACAAUCGGUAUUGGCUAAUCAGAAAUUAGAUAUAACAAAAUGAGGCCAAGUGGCUUCAAAAUGUACGUUUGCUUCUUAUCAACGAGUUGAUAAUUAUAAAUAAAAUAGACAGAAAACGACACUUUACGAACACAGUAUACCCCAAAAAUAAUCUCAAAAAAAGUAGAACGCUCCUACGAAAGUACAUACGUCAAUUUAAAUAAAAUCAUUCAAUCAUUCGAAUUUCAGUUUUUUUUUUUUUUUGUUAAUAUGAAAUUAUUUGCUUUUGCAAACAACGAAUUAUUUUUGAACCCAAAAAUAAGAAAAAUUGAAGAAAAAAAAUUAUUCAAUACUCAAUUGAAGAAACCGAGCAAUUUCGUGACAAACGAAUUCCAACUUCACAACAAAUCGUUCACGAAGCAGACGAAUGAUGCAACUAAAAAGGUCCUUUGCAAUAGACAUCCAUCGAGACCUCCUACUCACAUGUUCAGUUCAGUAUGAAUCUACAAAUGCAACUGAACAGAUGUCGACUUUUCUAUUAAAAUUUGGUUCAUAUUUUUCAAAUAAGUAAAUAAGCAUUCGUUUAAAUUUGAAACGUGAUCGCAAGAAAAUGAAUAAGUGCAAAUUGUUACUGAAACAGGCUUUAAUCGCGUAUACGGAAUGGUCUCCGCUCACCUCAAAUACUUCUAAGAUCGGAAUUUGCUGCUGUAAUCAUAUAAAUUCGAAAUUGGCAAAAGAUUAUCAGAGCGAAGAGAUAGAAAACGAAACGCUGAAAAAUCUGCAGCAACAAUGGAAUGAUUUGACGACACGAAUUGAAAAGAAAAAGCAGGAAAUAAUAGAAAAUGCUUAUCGAGAAGCACAAUUUUAAAUUGCUGCGGAGUAUAUAGAGAAAAAAAGCUUGAUCAACAAUUUUCAUUCAAGGAGGGCCCAUAAGUAUAUUUUCUGUUCGUUUUUUGUGAUUAUAAAAAGGAAGUGGCAAAGUUACAUAUAUUUUUUCUUUAAAUAAAAUCUAUUUCGCUAAAUAA